rnacentral:pre_miRNA from 1 species
CUAGUACUCCUUCCGUUUCGAAUUACUUGUCUUGGAUUUGUCUAGAUACGGAUGUAUCUAGACUCAUUUUAGUGCUAGAUACCUCCGUAUCUAGAUAAAUCCAAGACAAGUAAUUCAGAACGGAGGGAGUACUAG